CGGUCGGAUACUUUCUUACUUCCUUCGCUUCCGUUUCUGCCAGCUCUCUUUCUCUCCGAAGGCAGUUUCAGCCCGUCUUCGCGGACACGAGUAACGACGAACGUUAGUCGAUAACGGUGCACAUCGAAUGUUUGGAUGGCAUGCAACGGGAAAUCAGGAGAAAAAUUGGCGCAAACACCUCCCGGAGUCGAUGUUCAGGCGGCACUGAAACUCCUUCAGCCUUUAGCCCGUGUCGCGUCGCGUCGCGCCGUGACUCGCGUUAACCGCCGAGUACUACGAAAAUCAACUUACCCUUUAAGGAGCGUGCGCAGCGUUAUCCACUUUCUAAUGAUACGGUCGAUUCUGCUACCUGUGGAGUACCACGCUUCUCUUUCCUUUUCUCUCGUCGCUUUCCUUUCCCUUUUCGUUUCGUUUCAUCGUUGCGUUGCACGGACAAAGAAAUAAAGUCAAGAUCGAUCAUCGUUAACGUUCGAUCAAUUUUCAACCGUUUAUGCCGCGAUAAAAAUACAUCGUCCUACCUUCUCCUGAAGCGUUCGGGCGUGAAACGUACCAUGGAAUUAACGCGAGUUCUUCCUUACGCGCGACGCGACUACCCCUUUUUUUUCAUCGCGCGCGACAAUAUUUCGUCUACUCUCGACACCGUUCGCGUUAUUACCUUAACUUACGUACGUAUAAAUAAUGUUGUCCGUAAAUUAUUCGUGGUAAACCGUCAAGAGUGUUUCGAACGCUCGAAUUCGUACAACUUCUUUGCGUGUUCGAAAUAUAAUAAUAUGAUGUUGGUAAAAUGUGGGGGAAAACAAUUGUAAAAAUGUUUAAAUCUAUCGUUUAUUACAUAAAUAUAUCACCACACAAUGUUACGAGAUGAUCGUUUUACGUAACAAAAGAAAACGAAAGAGAUCGAACGGAAAAGCGUCGCAAGAAGCAGGAAGAGGGAACGAACAAAGAGAGAGAGAGAUAGGAUCGUAACGUUCGAAAAAGUGUAAAAACGUCAUCGCCAUCGAAAAAAGUUGAACGUUAUAGGCAUGAAAAUGAUAAACUAUUAGAAACGGCACCGAAUAAAAAGAUAAAACGGAGAAAAAAGUUGGGAAAAAAGUGAGCAGUGAUCAGUCAUCGCAAAGUUCUCCUCUUCGAGUUUUAAAAGCUUUCCCACUUAAUCAUCGUCGUGAUCAACGUUAACGACGCAGCGGUUAAAGUCGUCGUUGUCCUCUCGUCAUCGUCGUCAUCGUCACAAUCACGAAUGUUUUUUCGCUGUCUACGCGUAACAUAGUAAAAAUAUAUCUCUUCGGUUUCUAUAAUUAAUAUUAAUUUUAGUUAAUUCGUAUAUCACUAUCGGAACAAUAGACAAUGGCCAACUAUAUUUUCCCCUCGCACGCAUACUUCACGGGCGAGAGAAUACCAUAAUUUUUCUAUUAAUUUCUUUCUCGUGCGAGAUAAUAUUCCUUACGGGAUAUCGAGUCCCUUUCAUAAAUACGCGUGUCCUGUUCUUAAAAGUUAUAUCAGCGGUUAAACGAAU